AGAAAGGUCUUUCUACUGGACCCUUUUGCAUGCUUCUGAUACCCUCUUCUCCCUAUUACUAAGUUGAACUAUGUGACUACCAUAUUUCACUGUCUACUGACUUUGUAGUUAUUAUUGAAUGCUGCUCUUUGCCAUGGUUUAACCUCGCAUGCCUAAUGUUUAUGCACUCUUUUAUAUGCUGAAUUUCCCUCUAAAAUGACCUUCAAUUUUGGACUGAUUUCAGACCUCCUUGUAUAAGUCUGAUUGAUUUUUCCUUGUUUUACUAAUUUCCCUAUUUCUUGGGUUUUGAUUUGAAAACUUUUCUUAAACUUUUGAUUGUCCUAUUUCUAACUUGGUUUAUUCAUUUAUUCAUGAACCAGUGAUUUUGAAUCCCUGACUCCUUGAUUUACUAUAUGUUAAUUGGUCUAUUAUGUUUCUUACCUUAUUUGGUUAACCGUGUAUUUCAAAUAUUCUUCAUUAGUUCUUCCCCUAGUUAAACCUUUAUGUACCUACCCAUGAUUGUCUACUCUGCACAUGAUGCUUACUUAAUUUCUUUCCUUAGAUAUUUUCUGCCCAUUACCG
rnacentral:lncRNA from 1 species